rnacentral:rRNA from 1 species
AUGGGGCGCAGCAGGCGAGAAAACUUUGCAAUGUGCGAAAGCACGACAAGGCUAAUCCGAGUGAUUCCUGCUAAAGGAAUCUUUUGUUAGUCAUAAAACCACUAACGAAUAAGGGGUGGGCAAGUUCUGGUGUCAGCCGCCGCGGUAAAACCAGCACCUCAAGUGGUCAGGAUGAUUAUUGGGCCUAAAGCAUCCGUAGCCGGCUUUGUUAGUUUUCGGUUAAAUCCAUAUGCUCAACAUAUGGGCCGCCGGGAAUACUACAAAGCUAGGGAGUGGGAGAGGUAGACGGUACUCCGUAGGAAGGGGUAAAAUCCUUUGAUCUAUGGAUGACCACCAGUGGCGAAGGCGGUCUACCAGAACACGUUCGACGGUGAGGGAUGAAAGCUGGGGGAGCAAACCGGAUUAGAUACCCGGGUAGUCCCAGCUGUAAACUAUGCAAACUCAGUGAUGCAUUGGCUUGUGGCCAGUGCAGUGCCGCAGAGAAGUCGUUAAGUUUGCCGCCUGGGAAGUACGUACGCAAGUAUGAAACUUAAAGGAAUUGGCGGGGGAGCAC